rnacentral:rRNA from 2 species
UACGUAGGGGGCAAGCGUUGUCCGGAAUUAUUGGGCGUAAAGAGCACGUAGGCGGGGAUCCAAGUCAGGUGUGAAAACCCGGGGCUCAACUCCGGGAGUGCAGCUGAAACUGGAUUUCUUGAGGGCAGAAGAGGAGAGUGGAAUUCCUAGUGUAGCGGUGAAAUGCGUAGAUAUUAGGAGGAACACCAGUGGCGAAGGCGACUCUCUGGUCUGCAACUGACGCUGAGGUGCGAAAGCUAGGGGAGCGAACGGG